CCUACGGGAGGCAGCAGUGGGGAAUCUUGCGCAAUGGGGGCAACCCUGACGCAGCCAUGCCGCGUGAAUGAUGAAGGCCUUAGGGUUGUAAAGUUCUUUUGCCCGUGACGAUGAUGACGGUAACGGGAGAAUAAGCUCCGGCUAACUUCGUGCCAGCAGCCGCGGUAAUACGAAGGGGGCUAGCGUUGUUCGGAAUUACUGGGCGUAAAGCGCGCGCAGGCGGUUCGAUAAGUUAGGGGUGAAAUCCCUGGGCUCAACCCAGGAAUGGCCUUUAAGACUGUCGAGCUAGAGGACGAGAGAGGUGAGUGGAAUUCCCAGUGUAGAGGUGAAAUUCGUAAAUAUUGGGAAGAACACCGGUGGCGAAGGCGGCUCACUGGCUCGUUUCUGACGCUGAGGCGCGAAAGCGUGGGGAGCAAACAGGAUUAGAUACCCUGGUAGUCCACGCCCUAAACGAUGAGUGCCAGUGUCGGAGACUAGUCUUCUCGCGCCGCAGCUACGACCUACGUCACUCCGCCGUCGGGAGGUACGGCCGCGAACGGUAAACGUACGAAAGAAGUAGACGGCGNGAAGACGUGCGAACGACGACGACGAGGGAGGAGG
rnacentral:rRNA from 1 species